rnacentral:tRNA from 1 species
GCGGGAAUAGUUCAGUGGCAGUACAAUAUUCUGCCAAUGGUUAGAACGCACAUUCGGUCUGUGUGAGACACGAGUUCGAAUCUUGUUUCCCGCA